rnacentral:rRNA from 1 species
UGGCUCAGAGUGAACGCUGGCGGUAGGCCUAACACAUGCAAGUCGAACGGCAGCACAGCAGUAGCAAUACUGUGGGUGGCGAGUGGCGGACGGGUGAGGAAUACAUCGGAAUCUACCUUGUCGUGGGGGAUAACGUAGGGAAACUUACGCUAAUACCGCAUACGACCUUCGGGUGAAAGUGGGGGACCGCAAGGCCUCACGCGAUUAGAUGAGCCGAUGUCGGAUUAGCUAGUUGGCGGGGUAAUGGCCCACCAAGGCGACGAUCCGUAGCUGGUCUGAGAGGAUGAUCAGCCACACUGGAACUGAGACACGGUCCAGACUCCUACGGGAGGCAGCAGUGGGGAAUAUUGGACAAUGGGCGCAAGCCUGAUCCAGCCAUACCGCGUGGGUGAAGAAGGCCUUCGGGUUGUAAAGCCCUUUUGUUGGGAAAGAAAUCCUAUCGAUUAAUACUCGGUGGGGAUGACGGUACCCAAAGAAUAAGCACCGGCUAACUUCGUGCCAGCAGCCGCGGUAAUACGAAGGGUGCAAGCGUUACUCGGAAUUACUGGGCGUAAAGCGUGCGUAGGUGGUUGUUUAAGUCUGUUGUGAAAGCCCUGGGCUCAACCUGGGAAUUGCAGUGGAUACUGGGCGACUAGAGUGUGGUAGAGGAUAGUGGAAUUUCCGGUGUAGCAGUGAAAUGCGUAGAGAUCGGAAGGA